GUGCAGAUCCUUGGGAGCCCUGUUAGACUCUGGAUUUUACACUUGGAGUGAACGGGCGCCAUCCCGAGGCUUUGCACAG
rnacentral:pre_miRNA from 10 species